UACGAAGGGGGCUAGCGUUGCUCGGAAUCACUGGGCGUAAAGGGUGCGUAGGCGGGUCUUUAAGUCAGGGGUGAAAUCCUGGAGCUCAACUCCAGAACUGCCUUUGAUACUGAAGAUCUUGAGUUCGGGAGAGGUGAGUGGAACUGCGAGUGUAGAGGUGAAAUUCGUAGAUAUUGGGAAGAACACCGGUGGCGAAGGCGGCCAACUGGACCACAACUGACGCUGAACGGCGAAAGCUAGGGGAGCAAACGGG
rnacentral:rRNA from 1 species